rnacentral:rRNA from 1 species
GACGAACCGUCCUAACGUUGUUCGGAAUUACUGGGCGUAAAGGGCUCGUAGGUGGCCAACUAAGUCAGACGUGAAAUCCCUCGGCUUAACCGGGGAACUGCGUCUGAUACUGGAUGGCUUGAGUUCGGGAGAGGGAUGCGGAAUUCCAGGUGUAGCGGUGAAAUGCGUAGAUAUCGUUUGGAACGCCAACGGUGAAAACAGACAGCUGGGAGUGUGCUGACGCUGAGACACGAAAGCCAGGGGAGCGAACGGG